rnacentral:rRNA from 1 species
UACGUAGGGCGCAAGCGUUGUCCGGAUUCACUGGGUGUAAAGGGUGCGCAGGCGGAGAAGCAAGUCAGAGGUGAAAUCUCACGGCUCAACCGUGAAACUGCCUUUGAUACUGCUUUUCUUGAGUCAGGGAGAGGUUGAUGGAAUUCCAGGUGUAGCGGUGAAAUGCGUAGAUAUCUGGAAGAACACCGGUGGCGAAGGCGGUCAACUGGCCCUGAACUGACGCUCAGGCACGAAAGCGUGGGGAUCGAAACAGG